rnacentral:rRNA from 1 species
GACGAACGCUGGCGGCGUGCUUAACACAUGCAAGUCGAACGGAAAGGCCCUGCUUUUGUGGGGUGCUCGAGUGGCGAACGGGUGAGUAACACGUGAGUAACCUGCCCUUGACUUUGGGAUAACUUCAGGAAACUGGGGCUAAUACCGGAUAGGAGCUCCUGCUGCAUGGUGGGGGUUGGAAAGUCUCGGCGGUUGGGGCUGGACUCGCGGCUUAUCAGCUUGUUGGUGGGGUAGUGGCUUACCAAGGCUUUGACGGGUAGCCGGCCUGAGAGGGUGACCGGCGACAUUGGGACUGAGAUACGGCCCAGACUGCUACGGGAGGCAGCAGUGGGGAAUAUUGCACAAUGGGCGGAAGCCUGAUGCAGCAACGCCGCGUGCGGGAUGACGGCCUUCGGGUUGUAAACCGCUUUCGCCUGUGACGAAGCGUGAGUGACGGUAAUGGGUAAAGAAGCACCGGCUAACUACGUG